CCUACGGGUGGCAGCAGUAGGGAAUAUUGCUCAAUGGGGGAAACCCUGAAGCAGCAACGCCGCGUGGAGGAUGAAGGUUUUCGGAUUGUAAACUCCUUUUGUUAGAGAAGAUAAUGACGGUAUCUAACGAAUAAGCACCGGCUAACUCCGUGCCAGCAGCCGCGGUAAUACGGAGGGUGCAAGCGUUACUCGGAAUCACUGGGCGUAAAGAGCGCGUAGGCGGGAUAGCAAGUCAGAUGUGAAAUCCUAGGGCUUAACCAUAGAACUGCAUUUGAAACUGUUAUUCUAGAGUAUGGGAGAGGUAGGUGGAAUUCCUGGUGUAGCGGUAAAAUCCGUAGAGAUCAAGAGGAAUACUCAUUGCGAAGGCGACCUGCUAGAACAUAACUGACGCUGAUGCGCGAAAGCGUGGGGAGCAAACAGGAUUAGAUACCCGGGUAGUC
rnacentral:rRNA from 1 species